GCAAUGUUGGAGUAGUGGUAAGCCUCUUCUCUCCGCGUUCAGAAAAUGUCGACUAAUAAAUAAUAGGUUAACUUGUUCCCUUCCCAUUUUUGAAUGAAGAGGGAGAGACUCGGGUUCGAAUCCCGGACACUGCG